AUCAUAUACAGCAUAAUAUGUAAUCCACAAAAUCUGAUGACUAUAGUCUUCAGAAAAAAGAGAUUUAAAAAAAAGAGAUAAGAGAAAAAGAUGAAAAGAAAACUAUGAAACAUCAUACAAGUAAUGAAAGCUCUCAUGACUAACCAUCAACUUUUCUCAUUUACCUGAGUAAUUAUAAUCAUAUAUCAUCGAUCAAGGGUGCGAAGCAAGCAAAGGAAUAUCGAUCAUCAAUGGUGUAAUGGGUUCGGACCAGUAGGGACGAGGCGUUUUUCGACACCAUAACGUGGAUCAAUCUCACUUCCAUCUCCUUCUUUAUGCACUCGUUUGUCCGGCAGUGAAGGUUUUCCAUGGCGGCGUUGAUCUUGACCAUAGCGCGGCCGACGCUUCUUUUGAAAUGGAGUGAAGUCAAAUUUUGCAGCAAGAACUUUUCGGUUGAGCAAUGGGUGGCGACGGGAGACGGAGGAAUAAUAGGCACUUGUGUUGAUGAUUUCUUUCUUGUUGUUGAUGUUUGUCUUGAAAUAAUGGAGUUCAUGAAACACUAACAAGAGGAGAGAAAGCCAAAGAAAGAUACAAAUUAGGGUGUGUGAAAUUUUCAAGGCCAUGGUGGAAGAGUAGGAGAAGAAGGGUUAGAAGAAGAGGAAGCAUGGAGCAAGAAAAUGAAGAGGAGCUCUAAAGGGUAGAAAAAAUUUUAGUAGCUAUUAGUUGAGGGAAAUUUUUUGAAGUUUAAAAGCUUGAAUCUAAUGUACUAUUAAU
rnacentral:misc_RNA from 1 species